UGGGGAAUAUUGCACAAUGGACGGAAGUUUGAUGCAGCGACGCCGCGUGGAGGGUGUAGGCCUUCGGGUUGUGAACUCCUUUUUCUCGCGAAAAAGGCACAGUUUUGGCUGUGUUGAUGGUAGUGGGGGAAGAAGCGCCGGCUAACUACGUGCCAGCAGCCGCGGUAAUACGUAGGGCGCGAGCGUUGUCCGGAUUUAUUGGGCGUAAAGAGCUCGUAGGUGGUUCGUCGCGUCUGUCGUGAAAGCCAGCAGCUUAACUGUUGGUCUGCGGUGGGUACGGGCGGGCUUGAGUGCGGUAGGGGUGACUGGAGUUCCUGGUGUAGCGGUGGAAUGCGCAGAUAUCAGGAGGAACACCGAUGGCGAAGGCAGGUCACUGGGCCGUUACUGACACUGAGGAGCGAAAGCGUGGGGAGCGAACAGG
rnacentral:rRNA from 1 species